rnacentral:rRNA from 1 species
GACGAACGCUGGCGGCGCGCCUAACACAUGCAAGUCGAGCGAUGAAAUUUUAACCGAUCUCUUCGGAGAGAAGAUAAAAUGGAUUAGCGGCGGACGGGUGAGUAACACGUGAGAAACCUGCCUUUCACAAGGGGAUAGCCUCGGGAAACCGGGAUUAAUACCCUAUGACACAUUUCCUUCGCAUGGAAGAAAUGUUAAAACUCCGGUGGUGAAAGAUGGUCUCGCGCCUGAUUAGCUAGUUGGUGGGGUAACGGCCCACCAAGGCCAUGAUCAGUAACCGGCCUGAGAGGGUGAACGGUCACAUUGGAACUGAGACACGGUCCAAACUCCUACGGGAGGCAGCAGUGGGGAAUAUUGCACAAUGGAGGAAACUCUGAUGCAGCGACGCCGCGUGAGCGAUGAAGGCUUUCGAGUCGUAAAGCUCUGUCCUAUAGGAAGAUAAUGACGGUACCAUAGGAGGAAGCCCCGGCUAACUACGUG